UUAAGCGACUAAGCGUACACGGUGGAUGCCCUGGCAGUCAGAGGCGAUGAAGGACGUGCUAAUCUGCGAUAAGCGUCGGUAAGGUGAUAUGAACCGUUAUAACCGGCGAUUUCCGAAUGGGGAAACCCAGUGUGUUUCGACACACUAUCAUUAACUGAAUCCAUAGGUUAAUGAGGCGAACCGGGGGAACUGAAACAUCUAAGUACCCCGAGGAAAAGAAAUCAACCGAGAUUCCCCCAGUAGCGGCGAGCGAACGGGGAGCAGCCCAGAGCCUGAAUCAGUGUGUGUGUUAGUGGAAGCGUCUGGAAAGGCGCGCGAUACAGGGUGACAGCCCCGUACACAAAAAUGCACAUGCUGUGAGCUCGAUGAGUAGGGCGGGACACGUGGUAUCCUGUCUGAAUAUGGGGGGACCAUCCUCCAAGGCUAAAUACUCCUGACUGACCGAUAGUGAACCAGUACCGUGAGGGAAAGGCGAAAAGAACCCCGGCGAGGGGAGUGAAAAAGAACCUGAAACCGUGUACGUACAAGCAGUGGGAGCACGCUUAGGCGUGUGACUGCGUACCUUUUGUAUAAUGGGUCAGCGACUUAUAUUCUGUAGCAAGGUUAACCGAAUAGGGGAGCCGAAGGGAAACCGAGUCUUAACUGGGCGUUAAGUUGCAGGGUAUAGACCCGAAACCCGGUGAUCUAGCCAUGGGCAGGUUGAAGGUUGGGUAACACUAACUGGAGGACCGAACCGACUAAUGUUGAAAAAUUAGCGGAUGACUUGUGGCUGGGGGUGAAAGGCCAAUCAAACCGGGAGAUAGCUGGUUCUCCCCGAAAGCUAUUUAGGUAGCGCCUCGUGAAUUCAUCUCCGGGGGUAGAGCACUGUUUCGGCAAGGGGGUCAUCCCGACUUACCAACCCGAUGCAAACUGCGAAUACCGGAGAAUGUUAUCACGGGAGACACACGGCGGGUGCUAACGUCCGUCGUGAAGAGGGAAACAACCCAGACCGCCAGCUAAGGUCCCAAAGUCAUGGUUAAGUGGGAAACGAUGUGGGAAGGCCCAGACAGCCAGGAUGUUGGCUUAGAAGCAGCCAUCAUUUAAAGAAAGCGUAAUAGCUCACUGGUCGAGUCGGCCUGCGCGGAAGAUGUAACGGGGCUAAACCAUGCACCGAAGCUGCGGCAGCGACGCUGAUGCGUUGUUGGGUAGGGGAGCGUUCUGUAAGCCUGCGAAGGUGUGCUGUGAGGCAUGCUGGAGGUAUCAGAAGUGCGAAUGCUGACAUAAGUAACGAUAAAGCGGGUGAAAAGCCCGCUCGCCGGAAGACCAAGGGUUCCUGUCCAACGUUAAUCGGGGCAGGGUGAGUCGACCCCUAAGGCGAGGCCGAAAGGCGUAGUCGAUGGGAAACAGGUUAAUAUUCCUGUACUUGGUGUUACUGCGAAGGGGGGACGGAGAAGGCUAUGUUGGCCGGGCGACGGUUGUCCCGGUUUAAGCGUGUAGGCUGGUUUUCCAGGCAAAUCCGGAAAAUCAAGGCUGAGGCGUGAUGACGAGGCACUACGGUGCUGAAGCAACAAAUGCCCUGCUUCCAGGAAAAGCCUCUAAGCAUCAGGUAACAUCAAAUCGUACCCCAAACCGACACAGGUGGUCAGGUAGAGAAUACCAAGGCGCUUGAGAGAACUCGGGUGAAGGAACUAGGCAAAAUGGUGCCGUAACUUCGGGAGAAGGCACGCUGAUAUGUAGGUGAAGUCCCUCGCGGAUGGAGCUGAAAUCAGUCGAAGAUACCAGCUGGCUGCAACUGUUUAUUAAAAACACAGCACUGUGCAAACACGAAAGUGGACGUAUACGGUGUGACGCCUGCCCGGUGCCGGAAGGUUAAUUGAUGGGGUUAGCCGCAAGGCGAAGCUCUUGAUCGAAGCCCCGGUAAACGGCGGCCGUAACUAUAACGGUCCUAAGGUAGCGAAAUUCCUUGUCGGGUAAGUUCCGACCUGCACGAAUGGCGUAAUGAUGGCCAGGCUGUCUCCACCCGAGACUCAGUGAAAUUGAACUCGCUGUGAAGAUGCAGUGUACCCGCGGCAAGACGGAAAGACCCCGUGAACCUUUACUAUAGCUUGACACUGAACAUUGAGCCUUGAUGUGUAGGAUAGGUGGGAGGCUUAGAAGUGUGGACGCCAGUCUGCAUGGAGCCGACCUUGAAAUACCACCCUUUAAUGUUUGAUGUUCUAACGUUGACCCGUAAUCCGGGUUGCGGACAGUGUCUGGUGGGUAGUUUGACUGGGGCGGUCUCCUCCUAAAGAGUAACGGAGGAGCACGAAGGUUGGCUAAUCCUGGUCGGACAUCAGGAGGUUAGUGCAAUGGCAUAAGCCAGCUUGACUGCGAGCGUGACGGCGCGAGCAGGUGCGAAAGCAGGUCAUAGUGAUCCGGUGGUUCUGAAUGGAAGGGCCAUCGCUCAACGGAUAAAAGGUACUCCGGGGAUAACAGGCUGAUACCGCCCAAGAGUUCAUAUCGACGGCGGUGUUUGGCACCUCGAUGUCGGCUCAUCACAUCCUGGGGCUGAAGUAGGUCCCAAGGGUAUGGCUGUUCGCCAUUUAAAGUGGUACGCGAGCUGGGUUUAGAACGUCGUGAGACAGUUCGGUCCCUAUCUGCCGUGGGCGCUGGAGAACUGAGGGGGGCUGCUCCUAGUACGAGAGGACCGGAGUGGACGCAUCACUGGUGUUCGGGUUGUCAUGCCAAUGGCACUGCCCGGUAGCUAAAUGCGGAAGAGAUAAGUGCUGAAAGCAUCUAAGCACGAAACUUGCCCCGAGAUGAGUUCUCCCUGACCCUUUAAGGGUCCUGAAGGAACGUUGAAGACGACGACGUUGAUAGGCCGGGUGUGUAAGCGCAGCGAUGCGUUGAGCUAACCGGUACUAAUGAACCGUGAGGCUUAACCUU
rnacentral:rRNA from 2 species